UCAACCCUCAAGCCUGGCUUGUUGUUGGACCCGGGACCCUUUUCAGGGUUCACCGGUCUCAAAGACAAUGACGGCGUCCGUGAGACCCUCGGUACAAUGAGCUUUCUGAGCACGUACCGCAGUGGGCUGGCGGACCCGGUCCUCCUUUUUUAAUUUCUAA
rnacentral:misc_RNA from 1 species